rnacentral:rRNA from 1 species
CCUCACUUGUGGGGGGAUUAGUGGCGAACGGGUGAGUAACACGUGAGUAACCUGCCCUUAACUCUGGGAUAAGCCUGGGAAACUGGGUCUAAUACCGGAUAUGACUCCUCAUCGCAUGGUGGGGGGUGGAAAGCUUUAUUGUGGUUUUGGAUGGACUCGCGGCCUAUCAGCUUGUUGGUGAGGUAAUGGCUCACCAAGGCGACGACGGGUAGCCGGCCUGAGAGGGUGACCGGCCACACUGGGACUGAGACACGGCCCAGACUCCUACGGGAGGCAGCAGUGGGGAAUAUUGCACAAUGGGCGAAAGCCUGAUGCAGCGACGCCGCGUGAGGGAUGACGGCCUUCGGGUUGUAAACCUCUUUCAGUAGGGAAGAAGCGAAAGUGACGGUACCUGCAGAAGAAGCGCCGGCUAACUACGUGCCAGCAGCCGCGGUAAUACGUAGGGCGCAAGCGUUAUCCGGAAUUAUUGGGCGUAAAGAGCUCGUAGGCGGUUUGUCGCGUCUGCCGUGAAAGUCCGGGGCUCAACUCCGGAUCUGCGGUGGGUACGGGCAGACUAGAGUGAUGUAGGGGAGACUGGAAUUCCUGGUGUAGCGGUGAAAUGCGCAGAUAUCAGGAGGAACACCGAUGGCGAAGGCAGGUCUCUGGGCAUUAACUGACGCUGAGGAGCGAAAGCAUGGGGAGCGAACAGGAUUAGAUACCCUGGUAGUCCAUGCCGUAAACGUUGGGCACUAGGUGUGGGGGACAUUCCACGUUUUCCGCGCCGUAGCUAACGCAUUAAGUGCCCCGCCUGGGGAGUACGGCCGCAAGGCUAAAACUCAAAGGAAUUGACGGGGGCCCGCACAAGCGGCGGAGCAUGCGGAUUAAUUCGAUGCAACGCGAAGAACCUUACCAAGGCUUGACAUGAACCGGAAAUACCUGGAAACAGGUGCCCCGCUUGCGGUCGGUUUACAGGUGGUGCAUGGUUGUCGUCAGCUCGUGUCGUGAGAUGUUGGGUUAAGUCCCGCAACGAGCGCAACCCUCGUUCUAUGUUGCCAGCGCGUUAUGGCGGGGACUCAUAGGAGACUGCCGGGGUCAACUCGGAGGAAGGUGGGGACGACGUCAAAUCAUCAUGCCCCUUAUGUCUUGGGCUUCACGCAUGCUACAAUGGCCGGUACAAAGGGUUGCGAUACUGUGAGGUGGAGCUAAUCCCAAAAAGCCGGUCUCAGUUCGGAUUGGGGUCUGCAACUCGACCCCAUGAAGUCGGAGUCGCUAGUAAUCGCAGAUCAGCAACGCUGCGGUGAAUACGUUCCCGGGCCUUGUACACACCGCCCGUCAAGUCACGAAAGUUGGUAACACCCGAAGCCGGUGGCCUAACCC